ensembl:lncRNA
CUAUGAUUCUAUAUCACAGUAAUUAUUACAUAUUAUAUUUAUAAUCUUAUAUUAUCUGCUUAGAACUGGAUUAUAUGAGGCCCCUUCUUCACAGCUGUAUAAUAUGCGCACUGAAGUGGAUUAUAUGGCAGUGUGGAGUCCAGAUAAUCCAGUGCAAAGCAGAUAAUAUAAGAUUAUAAAUGGGUAAUAUAGCUGUGUGGAAGGGCCUUGAGUCUACACUGCCAUAUAAUCCAGUGCAAAUGAGAUAAUCUGUGGAACAGGCCGAGGCCUAAGUCUGCCUGUCUCCUGGGCUGAGUUGGUUGCUAGGAGACCAAGUGGGCAGAGAUUAGUCCUCUAACUGGCAGCAAUUGGAUAAAAACAAUUAUUGUUCUCCCUCUAAUUAGAACUUUAUUUUUCUUUUCUUUUUGUUGUAUCAACCUAGAGGCAUGGAUGAUGGGUUGUGUUGUCAAAUUUCGAGGUUGGGGGGCCUGUAGUUUUGUUGUUUUGCUGGUCGCCGUGAUGCCAUCGCUCAUUUAUAUAUAUAGAUUACCAUAGCACAAUAGUAGUAAAUGAAAGAACAAUACAAUAUUUAAAAAUAAAAACAGUUUUAACCAACAUUCUAUAAACCUUUCAGGAUUUCAAUGGGAAGUGUGGGCCUGCUUCUGGCCAAUGAGAUAGUCAAGUUAAGUAAGAUUGUUGUUGUUGUGUGCCUUCAAGUCAUUUCAGACUUUGGCCGAGCCUAAGUCUUAAACUGAGGGCGGGGGCCAGGUAAAUGACCUUGGAGGGCCGCAUCCGGCCCCCGGGCCUUAGUUUGAGGACGCUUGCUGUAUCUAAUAUGAAUUAACUAAAGGUUUUGUUUCCUCAGGUUCUUUUCAGCUGUGUUGUGCAGUCACAGAUUAAACACUCCUCACAAUGCACAUCCUGCAAAUCUGUGCUACAGUCUGCUGUUUCGCCAGCCUUCUGCUGCUCCUCAUUUCCCUUGGCACUGACUACUGGGUGGUAGUUGGCAGUAAACUAAACUCAGGACUAUGGAAACAGUGUGUCUCUUCUACCUGUAGUGAAAUUCAGAAUCCUUCAGAUAAACUGAAUGCUACCCGAGCCUUCAUGAUCCUGGGGAUGAUCGCUGGUGCAGUGUCUUUAUUCAGUCUCUUAGCCUCAUAUUUUCGGACACACCUUCACUCCUUCUCCUUGGCCAAGCUUGCUGCUAUCAGCAGUUUAUUUGCAGGUACAAUUGAAUAAUAUGUCCCAGUUUUCACAUGCACCUCCAGCUCCUUUAUUCCUCUAACUCAGCCAUAAUCCAUCCAUAAAAGUGGUGGCAAUAUGAGUUUUAAAUCUGCUGUUUUAAAUCCCCUAUAGCUCCCCUUUUGCUGACUCAUGUUCCCAACUAGGAGGACAAUGAGAGUGAGGAGGAAUCCAUGUUAUCUCUGCCAUUUGUGACCAAUGCUUAGAGAUGAUCCUGGGAUUUCUCCUCUCUGCAUCCAAUUACCAACUUUAUGAGGAAGAUGAAAACUCUGAGAUGAAAAUCCUAUUUCCAACGCAGAGAAUGAGAGGAGGAUGAAAUCUCUGGAAAGGGAACAAUUUUCUCUAGAUCUGGGUGUCACGACCCAGGCAGCAGAGGCAC